rnacentral:rRNA from 1 species
AGGCUGCAACUCGCCUGCAUGAAGCUGGAAUUGCUAGUAAUCGCGGAUCAGCAAGCCGCGGUGAAUACGUUCCCGGGCCUUGUACACACCGCCCGUCACACCAUGAGAGUCAGGAACACCCGAAGUCCGUAGUCUAACCGCAAGGGGGCGCGGCCGAAGGUGGGUCCGGUAAUUGGGGUGAAGUCGUAACAAGGUAGC